CUUUCUUUGUCUUAGGGAUGAGCAUAACCACUGAGUAAUAGCGUCCGUCCCACCCUCACCUAGUGUAAGGGUUUUGCCUGCUGGUGGUAAUGUUUUUCUUUACAUAAGGUUAUCUUCAUGGUUGUUUUCAUAAAAUGGUUAUUCAGCCUAUUUCUAACUGCUUUGUUUUUUACAGACUAUACAGACUAUAACCGCACUCCAAGACAAGACCAACUAACCAAGGAUCCACCUAAGUAUGAAGAUUGGAUGCUAGUAGUAUCGGCAAUAUGGAAUUUUCAUGAGCUCCCUGCAUUAAGAAUCUGCUUUCAGAGACUUGUUACAUUUCAUUUUUCUUUACAGAACGCAUUUUGUUGCAAUUUGAUGUUUCAGUGUCUAUUUGAUACUUUCUUAAGCUUAGACAUUGUUGCCUUGUUAUCCGUUUAGCUGUGUCCUUUAUACAAAAGCUUUCAAGUCCAUCUCAUAUGGCUAUUUUCUUUACUAUUGGGUUCUUGAAUUCUGUUUUUGUUUAGAUGUUUAAGUUACUCUACCUUUUGGGUAAUAUAUAUUCUCAGUGUUUUGUGGGAUGAGCUAAGCAUUCGCAGUUUCCCAUUUUUAAAAAUCCAUGGUGUGACGAAAGCACCUUCAUCACUGGGACUUGGAGAGGCCUGCUUGCCAGCCUUUUGACCUUUGACUAUGGCCCCUGGGAUAUAUUGCCCUUUAAAACCACUAUUUGGGCAUAUUGGAUUUUAAAGGCACUGUUACUGCCCCUUGGACUUUUAACUGGAACAGAGUCAAACAUGUGGCGGCGGCCUUCUUAAAUUGUCCAGCAGUGUUUUGCCGUCAAGUGUAUGGAACUGUUUUGGACAUGGGACCAUGUGCACGGUGGGGCAAAAAUAAGACUUCCAGGAAAUUCCUGAACCCCUGAACAGAACUGGGUGAUUUUUGGAUAUGUUGUUCACCCAGAUCGGGGCUAUGUGGGGAUAUGUUGUAUUUUGGGGGUACUUUUUGGGGUUUGUAAAAAAAAAAGAAAAAGAAAUUCUGCAUAGAGUUAACUGAGUUAGUCCAUUGUCUUAGUUAAUUGUAUCACAGGCAGAGGGGAGGGCUUGUGUGCUGUAUGUGGGAGGGUCAGACAUUGUUGUAUUGUUCUGAUUGGUUUGUGUGCCUGUGUUCCAUCAGGCCCAAGGGGGUGUGCCUCUGGCCUCAGGAAUUGUAUAAAUCGUGAGUGCUGGCUUGUAUUAAACAGACCUGUUCUACCCUUCAUGAAGUCUUGGCUCAUGUUUGGGGGAUUGCUAUAAUCACUAUACUCCCUAGAGUAAGCUCUUGUAAGAGCUUGUUCCUGUUUCUGCUCUCUGGAUUCUAAGAGAGGUCUGCCUACUGGAAGCUGGAUCCUGGUCUUGGGUCCAGAGUGGGUGGAAGACGGCGAGACCCCAACCAAGCUGCGUCGGUUCGUGGGGUCUGCGGUGGUUAUGGUGUCUGUUGAAGUGCUUGGAGCCCUCGGGAAGCACUAGGAGC